GGGGCUGUGGCUCAGUGGUGGAGUAUCUGUUUCGCAUGCAGAAGGUUUCAGGUUCAAUCCCUGACAUCCCCA